rnacentral:tRNA from 2 species
GGCUACGUAGCUCAGCGGUUAGAGCAGGGCUUUCAUAAGGCCAAGGUCGGUGGUUCGAUUCCACCCGUAGCCA